rnacentral:rRNA from 1 species
CUGGGGUUCGGGUCGGCGGUUUGCCGCUCUGCGGCUACUGCCGUGCUCGACUCUUACUAGCUGGUGCGUCUCGCGGUUCUCUUCACUGAGUGCCACGAGAGCCUAGCAUGUUUACUUUGAAAAAAUUAGAGUGCUCAAAGCAGGCGUUCACGCCUGAAUAGUGUUGCAUGGAAUAAUGGAAUAGGACCUCGGUUCUAUUUUGUUGGUUUUCGGAACUUGAGGUAAUGAUUAAGAGGGACGGUCGGGGGCAUUCGUAUUUCGGUGUUAGAGGUGAAAUUC